rnacentral:rRNA from 2 species
UAGAGUUUGAUCAUGGCUCAGGACGAACGCUGGCGGCGUGCCUAAUACAUGCAAGUCGAACGAACUCUGGUAUUGAUUGGUGCUUGCAUCAUGAUUUACAUUUGAGUGAGUGGCGAACUGGUGAGUAACGCGUGGGAAACCUGCCCAGAAGCGGGGGAUAACACCUGGAAACAGAUGCUAAUACCGCAUAACAACUUGGACCGCAUGGUCCGAGUUUGAAAGAUGGCUUCGGCUAUCACUUUUGGAUGGUCCCGCGGCGUAUUAGCUAGAUGGUGGGGUAACGGCUCACCAUGGCAAUGAUACGUAGCCGACCUGAGAGGGUAAUCGGCCACAUUGGGACUGAGACACGGCCCAAACUCCUACGGGAGGCAGCAGUAGGGAAUCUUCCACAAUGGACGAAAGUCUGAUGGAGCAACGCCGCGUGAGUGAAGAAGGGUUUCGGCUCGUAAAACUCUGUUGUUAAAGAAGAACAUAUCUGAGAGUAACUGUUCAGGUGUUGACGGUAUUUAACCAGAAAGCCACGGCUAACUACGUGCCAGCAGCCGCGGUAAUACGUAGGUGGCAAGCGUUGUCCGGAUUUAUUGGGCGUAAAGCGAGCGCAGGCGGUUUUUUAAGUCUGAUGUGAAAGCCUUCGGCUCAACCGAAGAAGUGCAUCGGAAACUGGGAAACUUGAGUGCAGAAGAGGACAGUGGAACUCCAUGUGUAGCGGUGAAAUGCGUAGAUAUAUGGAAGAACACCAGUGGCGAAGGCGGCUGUCUGGUCUGUAACUGACGCUGAGGCUCGAAAGUAUGGGUAGCAAACAGGAUUAGAUACCCUGGUAGUCCAUACCGUAAACGAUGAAUGCUAAGUGUUGGAGGGUUUCCGCCCUUCAGUGCUGCAGCUAACGCAUUAAGCAUUCCGCCUGGGGAGUACGGCCGCAAGGCUGAAACUCAAAGGAAUUGACGGGGGCCCGCACAAGCGGUGGAGCAUGUGGUUUAAUUCGAAGCUACGCGAAGAACCUUACCAGGUCUUGACAUACUAUGCAAAUCUAAGAGAUUAGACGUUCCCUUCGGGGACAUGGAUACAGGUGGUGCAUGGUUGUCGUCAGCUCGUGUCGUGAGAUGUUGGGUUAAGUCCCGCAACGAGCGCAACCCUUAUUAUCAGUUGCCAGCAUUAAGUUGGGCACUCUGGUGAGACUGCCGGUGACAAACCGGAGGAAGGUGGGGAUGACGUCAAAUCAUCAUGCCCCUUAUGACCUGGGCUACACACGUGCUACAAUGGAUGGUACAACGAGUUGCGAACUCGCGAGAGUAAGCUAAUCUCUUAAAGCCAUUCUCAGUUCGGAUUGUAGGCUGCAACUCGCCUACAUGAAGUCGGAAUCGCUAGUAAUCGCGGAUCAGCAUGCCGCGGUGAAUACGUUCCCGGGCCUUGUACACACCGCCCGUCACACCAUGAGAGUUUGUAACACCCAAAGUCGGUGGGGUAACCUUUUAGGAACCAGCCGCCUAAGGUGGGACAGAUGAUUAGGGUGAAGUCGUAACAAGGUAGCCGUAGGAGAACCUGCGGUUGGAUCACCUCCUUA